CUAGUUAAAUAAAGAAAAGAAAAAGGUUGGAAACUACUUCCGGGUGCGUGAUACCACGUGAUCAGUAUACUUUUACCUUCGUCGUUUCGUAUUUUCCUGGAGGAGGCUUCGAGCGUGUCGUGAAAUUUUAAAAGCUUAAACCGACCCAAAUAUGGCAGAGGCUGACCGACCAGGGAAGCUCUUCAUCGGUGGCCUGGACACUGAAACUAACGAGAAGGCCCUUGAGAAGUACUUCAGCAAAUAUGGCAGAAUAGUAGAAGUUUUGUUGAUGAAAGACCGUGAAACGAACAAAUCCAGAGGUUUUGCGUUUGUGACCUUUGAGAGUCCGGCAGAUGCAAAGGAUGCUGCGCGCGAAAUGAAUGGGAAGUCACUUGAUGGUAAGCCAAUAAAGGUUGAACAAGCAACAAAACCUCAGUUUGAGUCAGCGGGCAGACGCGGCCCACCCCCCAUGCGUGGCCGCGGUCCCCCUAGAGGUCCUAGAGGAUCUAGAGGAGCACCAAUGAGGGGUCCACCAUCCAGAGACUACUAUGAUAACGUAGGGAUUGUAGAACCCUUUUUCAAAGGGAUUUCGUCCAGAGGCCCUCCACCACUGAAAAGGGGACCUCCGAUUCGUAAUGGAGGCCCCCCACCCAAGAGACAUGCUCCUUCUCCAAUGGGCAGACCUUCCAUGUCUAGGGACAGGGACCCCUAUGGCCCACCCCCUCCCCGCAGGGACUCAAUGUCCAGAAGGGAUGAUUACCCAUCACCAAGAGAUGAAUAUUACAGCACAAAGGACAGCUAUUCUAGCCGGGAAUAUGUGAGUUCCAGGGAUACACGGGACUACGCACCAACACCACGGGACUAUCCGCCAAGGGAUUAUCCCCAAUCCAGUUCCCGUGAUGAAUAUGGGUCAAUGUCAAGGGGCUACAGUGAUGGUUAUGGUGGAGGCCGGGAACCCAAAAGCUAUAUGGAGCGCCCUAGUGCAGCCUCUUAUCGAGAGCCCUACGAUGGUUACGGGUGAGCUCUAAUGGAGCAAUCUUCUGGAACUAUUGCUGAUUCAAGCCUUCCUGUUGGUUGAUGUUGGACCAUCGCACAGAGAACCGAACAGGUACCUGUGCUGGCACCGCUCCCAAUUACAACUAAUAGUGGCAGGCGCCUGCAUGGAAACAACCAACAUCAUUGGACACAAACCAGUUAGAGAAAUGAGACUCAAAAGGAAGGUCAUUCUAAUGCCUGGUCUCAAAAAAAAUUACCUUCGAACAUCAAAAAUUAUACUGUUCCCAAAAGCACAACCAUUCAUUGCUGGAGUUAAGCAACUUCUUUAAGAUGGUACACUAGAAUUGGAAUGCAGAUUCUGUUUGGUUUGCUGAGCCACAUUUGUGAUGGGCAUCUCUUACAGAAAUCUAGAUUAUAGAAUGUUUCCUUGCCAGAUAUGGUGGAGCCCAUCAGAUAACACAAUUGUCUGUUUCCUGAUAUUGCAGUGGAAUUGGAAGCACACACACAACCAUUGCUUAGAAUUCUCCAGUGUCUCCCAGGUGUGGACAGAAGAACAGUUAUUACAAAGAAUCGAAAGCCCAAUUAACCCCCGUGUAUUGUUUUUGUUAUUCACCCAAUGUCCGUGGGUCUGAUUGACUCACAACAUUAUUGGGUUAAAACAAUACAGCCAUAACAAUAUACUUAGAUGUUGAAUCAAUUACACGUCAUAUAGACAGCAUACAUGGUUAAUCACAUUUAUCAAUAAAACCGCUAUUUGUU